GUUACUUUUCUUAUUUUGUAGAAGUAUCUAUUGGAGGAAGAGAGAAGCAGGCAAAAAGAUUCUAAACUCAGACCACUGGCCUUACUCUCACUGAAACUGCUGAUCAGAGCAUUGGCCAAGCAGUGAAAGAAACCCAAUUUUGAUUCUCAGAAGAAUGAAUCAUUGGCAACCACCACUCCGUACUAUUUAGGUCCGUACACAAUGCUUGUGACCAUGAUAUCUGAGAAGCCAAUCACAGUAAUCAAGCUUGAAGAACUGCUUGUACUUUGUAAGAGGGGAUCCUGAUGAAAAGCAGUAUGUGUAGGAGGAGGUCAUCUGGGCACUUGUUUUAAAGGCAAAUAGAAAGAAAAAGAGCAGGGCUUUGGAGCAGAGCCUAGAGCUGGAGCAUGGAGCAGCCUCCGGAGCAGCUGAGCUGCAGGUUUUUGCCUGGAGCUGGAGCAGAGCCGGAGCAUGGCUCCAAAGCCCAGAAAAAGAGGUCUUCAACAGGUGAUGCUCUUUCACUACAACAUGCCAGUGUGCCAAGGCAGAUCCAGCAGAAACAAUCAACUCUCAACAUUCUUCCCAAAUCUUCCUCCUGCCAAUUCAGCCAAUCUACAUGAUUUUAGCUUCUAC